GAAGGACUAUAGCUCAGUGGUAGAGCAUCUGCACUCCAAGCAGAAGGACCUAGGUUCAGUCCUUGGCAUCUUCA